GCGCCUCCUGGGCGAUGCGGUACGCCGCCACCUCGACGGCGGCCCGCAGCUCGGGAAGCGGCUCCGGCACCCGGACCCUGACCGCGGGGCCGCCC
rnacentral:tRNA from 1 species